rnacentral:rRNA from 1 species
ACUCCUACGGGAGGCAGCAGUAGGGAAUCUUCCGCAAUGGACGAAAGUCUGACGGAGCAACGCCGCGUGAGUGAUGAAGGUUUUCGGAUCGUAAAGCUCUGUUGUUAGGGAAGAACAAGUACCGUUCGAAUAGGGCGGUACCUUGACGGUACCUAACCAGAAAGCCACGGCUAACUACGUGCCAGCAGCCGCGGUAAUACGUAGGUGGCAAGCGUUGUCCGGAAUUAUUGGGCGUAAAGGGCUCGCAGGCGGUUUCUUAAGUCUGAUGUGAAAGCCCCCGGCUCAACCGGGGAGGGUCAUUGGAAACUGGGGAACUUGAGUGCAGAAGAGGAGAGUGGAAUUCCACGUGUAGCGGUGAAAUGCGUAGAGAUGUGGAGGAACACCAGUGGCGAAGGCGACUCUCUGGUCUGUAACUGACGCUGAGGAGCGAAAGCGUGGGGAGCGAACAGGAUUAGAUACCCUGGUAGUCCACGCCGUAAACGAUGAGUGCUAAGUGUUAGGGGGUUUCCGCCCCUUAGUG